CUUCCUUCCUUUUUCCUUCCCCUCCUUCCCUUCCUUAAUUUCUUUCUCUCCAUCCUUCCUUACACUCUCCAUAUUCCUUCUCUCCUUCCAGCCUUUCCUUCCUUCCUUCCCUUCCAUUCUUAUCAUCUCUCUUCCUUAUACUUCCUUUUUCCUUCCCCUCCUUCCCUUCCUUCAUUUCUUUCUCUCCAUCCUUCCUUACACUCUCCAUAUUCCUUCUCUCCUUCCAGCCUUUCCUUCUGUCCUUCCCCUCCAUUCUCAUCAUAAACACUCCAGUAAGUACAGUUUUCCAAGCAUAACACUAUAAAUCUAAUGAAGCUAUGCCUGCUGUUUGUACUGUAGUGAUGAACUUUCUUACUCUAUGAAGCACCGUGGGUCAAGUGCUGCAUCUUGUAUCUGUGUAUGUAUCAGCAGCCUGUUUGGGGUUCAUGUUCGUAACACCUCAGGGCGGGCGUAGGGGGACCGUUGCCCUAUUAUUGUACUCAGAGCCUCGUAUUUACUGGUUUCCGAGCCAUAGCUAUCGCCAAAAAACACCAGUAAUCAACCAUUUUAACGGGAACUAUAUACGAAGGCAGUUUCUGGGUCGGAAAUCGGCGAACAUAAGAGGCUGGGUACGACAAUCUGGCCCAGUUGCAUAGGGGUGACGAUAGAGUGAUAGUUGAUUGGGUGAUGAAGGCUGCGUAUGUGUGUGUGUGUGUGUGUGUGUGUGUGUUUAGUAACCAUCAACCAUAUAUUCUCAUGCUGGACACAUAUAUGAAGGAAAAGACUCACUCCAAACAUUGCUUCCUCAGAUGCUCAUACAUAACAAGCUCUCCGUGACUCUACACUCGCCUGAAAACCUUGAACUGACAGUGGAAGUUGACGAACGAAUCACGAGUUGACAAGUAUAUGAUGCGAUGGUUUUACGGAAGUGCCGAUGACUGCGUGACAAAAUGUAUCGAUGGUUUUACAGGAUUACCGAUGACUGCAUGACACAAAUAAUACCUUCAUGUUUUCACUCACAUAAUCACUGGUGAAUGCAUGAUGGAAAAUAUCUUAACACUUUCACAGGCUUAGAUGACUCCAUGACCAGGUAUUAAGAUCAAUGGUUUUACAGAAUUAAUGAUGAAUGCAUGAUAAAAAAAAAUAAAAAAAAAUAAAUAGAGAAAAAAUCACACAUAAUCACUGAUGACUGUACAAUCAAAAAAUAUCUUAAUGUUUUUACAGAAUUAACUGCAUGACAAAAAAAAAAAAAAUUAUGGAUACUGCAUGACCAAAAACAAACAAAAAAUACAUUCAUGUUUUUACACACACAAAAUCACUAAUAACUGCAGGACGAAAAAUAUCUUAGUGUUUUACAGACUUAACAAUGACUGCAUGACAAAAAGGAUUACCAAUGACUGCAUGAUGAAAAAAUAUCUUCAAGUUUUUACAAUUACUGAUGAUUGCAUGACGAAAAAUACCUUCAUGUUGCCACGGAAAUACUGACGACUGCAUGCCACAGAAAUUAAAUCUUACUCACGGUCCAGAGAGAGAAAGUUAACCCGGUAGCAGCAGGGAUCAUGUUUCUUAAUGGUCCCCCCAAGCGAGAAAAAUGAGAAAAAAAUCACCCCUCACACAAACCAUUUCAUAAUAUAUAUAUAUCAAAGCAUUUGUGAUCAGAUUAUGUAUCAUCUAUUCUUGGGGGUUUAUAUCAUGGCACAAAUUUGGCCCGUCACUGCUACACGGUAAAGCCACAAAUUUGGCCCGUCACUGCUACACGGUAAAGCCACAAAUUUGGUCCGUUGCUGCUACAUGGUAAAGCCACAAAUUUGGCCCGUCACUGCUACACGGUAAAGCCACAAAUUUGGCCUGUCACUGCUACACGGUAAAGCCACAAAUUUGGCCCGUUGCUGCUACACGGUAAAGCCACAAAUUUGGCCCGUCACUGCUACACGGUAAAGCCACAAAUCUGGCCCGUCGCUGCUACCAGGUUAAAGCAAUCUCUAAUCUCUUUCUCCCUUCCUCUCUAUCUAAAUACCUUUACACAAAUACUUUCAAUUUCAUGGAAUUAUUGAAGACUGCAUGACAUAAAUAAUCCCUAGUGGCUGCAUGACAUAAAUAUCUUUAAGUUUUCACAAUACAUUAAUCAGGUUUUCACAGAAUUACCAAAGGAAUCUCUCGGGCCAGUCAUCGAUGGUUUAACGGAAGUACUGAUGACUGCGUGACAAAAUGCAUCAAUGGUUUAACAGGAUUACCGAUGACUGCAUGACACAAAUAAUACCUUCAUGUUUUCACUCACAUAAUCACUGAUGAAUGCAUGAUGGAAAAUAUCUUAACACUCUCACAGGCUUAGAUGACUCCAUGAGCAGGCAGAUCAAUGGUUUUACAGGAUUACUGAUGACUGCAUGACACAAAUAAUACCUUCAUGUUUUCACUCAUAUGAUCACUGAUGACUGCAUGAUGGAAAAUAUCUUAACACUUUCACAGGCUUAGAUGACUCCAUGAGCAGGUAUUGGGCCAAAGGUUCAUGCUGGACUAGAUGAGUCUCCCCCGCAGGAAAGGACUCACAGAUGACUGGCAGCCGUCACAGAGGAUAAAAAAGCUCCCUAAAGCCCCAAGCUCCAAAAUACGGGUAAGUAAUGGAAGAGAGGAGCUGGGCACCCAUUGGUCUGUGAUCCAUGUCUGUGUCUAUCUGGAUGUGGGUCUCGGAAUCAUGUUUUUUGGGUGAACUUAUUGAGUUUUAACCCGGUAGCAGCGGGGAUCAUGUUUCUUAAUGGUCCCUCUAGGCAGGAAAAAUGAGAAAAAAUCAUGACUCACACAAACUAUUUCAUAAUAUAUAUCAAAGCAUUUGUGAUCAGUUUAUGUAUCAUCUAUUUUGGGGGGUUUAUAUCAUGGCACAAAUCUGGCCCGUCGCUGCUACAUGGUAAAGCCACAAAUUUGGCCUCUCGCUGCUACAUGGUAAAGCCACAAAUUUGGCCCGUCACUGCUACACGGUAAAGCCAUAGAUUUGGCCCGUUGUUGCUACACGGUAAAGCCACAGAUUUUGCCCGUCGCUGCUCCACGGUAAAGCCACAAAUUUGGCCUGUCGCUGCUACCGGGUUAAAGGCAGGGCAGAAGUAUGGGAAAGAGGAGUAAUAUAAAAAGUGGAGUUACAAAUAUAGAUAGGUCAGGAUCAAUGGUUCUGUCCAAACCCAUAAAGAAAAAUAUGGAUGUUGAAUAUAAAGAAGUUAUGAUUAAAUGGAUGUUUCUCAGCCUUCCCAAGAGUAUGCUUUAUCACUGACAAGGACACGGAUGAAGACACGGAUCACAGACUAACGGAUGACCGGCUGAGCUGAGCGUCAUGUGAACCAUUCCGAGAAGACGUAACAUACCACUGAACAUCCUCCUCCUCCUCCUCCUCCUCCUCCUCCUCCUCCUCCUCCUCUUCAAACAACACAAGGACCAUCGUACUUGCAUGUCGAUUCCUGACUCGGCGGACUUGAAACAUUACAGGUCAUAUUAUAAGACAAUUCGCCGCCCAAGAACACAUAUUUGACAAGGCUUUCGUAGGAGUUGCGGGCAUUUCCAGGGGUAGUUUUAUGACCCUGGUGGUAGCGUGACCCUUCCUCUGUACUGUGAACCUGAAGAAACACAUAUGAGAACUCAACUGAUCCCCUCUUUGAGCUUUAGAAAUGGUUGAUGUGAGGAGCGAAAGUGUCUUAUGAUACCAACCUACAAGUAAACACAAAGUUCGUACAUACAGUCACUGCACCAUCGCUUAACACACAUUACACUGAACACUAUGUAAGUAACAGAGCAAGGCGUGUCACUCUAUAACCUCUGCUUCACUUCCCUGUCUCUCUCUUGGGUCACUGCGCCUCAAACUCCGAUCUUGAGGACAGUGCGAGAGAGACCUUUUCGUAUGUUAAGAUUCAGUCACAACACAAGUCUCAGAUCUGGACAACAUGCUCACUGCCUCUGCCGUCUUUUCCUGUCCCUGGUGAGAGCUAUGCAGUCCACCUCACACUCAGCCACUCACCCACCAGAGCCCUUUACAGGAUGCCUCAGGACCAGGAGUCUCAACCUAGGAAGCCCACCAAACCUGUCUGUCUGUCGAGCUAUCUGCCAAGUGUUCUGUUUGAUCCCAACACCAAUAUAUCUCUAUUUAUAUAUGUACAGUUCCCCCUUAGUAUCCGCGGUUUUAUCUUUCAUGAAUUUAAAUAUUUGUGGAUAAAUUUGCGAGUGAUAAUUUGGGUGUGAGUGAAAGUGAUGAGUUUUACAUGGAAGCAACUUUUCUUGGGAUCCGAGUUCAUCGUCACCCUCUUAGACAAACUGCCUAAGCCACUUGUCGUCGAUUUCCCGAUUUCUGGGUCACAUUUUUCAUUAUGUGGUGACGCACCUUUUGGGAGGGCUGACUUUCUAGAGUGUGAGAGUUCCAACUUUUUUCCUAUGUGAUGGAGUUGCCUUAAUCCUUCUAGGGAGUAUGUUCUAAAAAUGGCCUUCUUAAUCUUUCUACCGCUAUCACAAGUUGACUUAGAAAAUGCGACAGUUGUUUGUUUUCGAUAUCUCCAAAAGUUGAAAAAAUUAUGAGGGCAGUUUGUUUAAAUAGGUGAUGUUAUCCUUCAAACAAAUCUAUCAUAACCUUUGCGGAUAGAAGGAAGGAGGUUGGCUUUUCCUGGAGUAUACCUGGCUCCCUGACACACACUAGGAGGCCUCCACGGGGUGCCAGCCAUCUCUCACCACAUACAGAGAGGAAGGGAAUCAAGGGAAAAGGUUUGAUGUUGAUUUCUGACAUCUGUUAAUCCUGAGUCAAUAUGAUUUUAGUAUUAACAAGUAAAAAAUCUAUACACCUUGCUGAAGCCUUGCCCUCCAGCACACGACUCAUCCUUCGUCUCGUUCACCAGCGACACAGAGUGGACACGUUCCCUCACAGCAAGUCCUUUGGGGUUUAAAUUUAAUCUACAUUUACAAAGUCCUAAAAUAACUAACCUUAACGUAUCGACACACACGGUUCAGUGAGCUUCAACGGCGGUGAGUGUCCGGCAGCGCUGGGGCACCGCAUGCCUGGCUGGCCGCGUCCUGUGUCCGGCACGUCCAGCGGUGCUCGUGUCGUCCCGGGGCCGGGGGCGUUGACAUGGCCGGCUCAGCACAGCAGGCAGCGGUGUGGCUCCCACCCACCCGGCGUGUGGUGGGCGGCCACACUCCUCCUCAGCACACUUGUGUAAAGCAUUUGGGAAAUCAUUGAGAACACACGACCUCCUCCUCUCAGCAACAAUCACUGUCAGGGUCUGGCUGUUCCUUCGCCGCCACGAACCAAAGAGCAACACAACUAACAUUACAAAAAGUGGCUUAAAUAUACAAAAAUAAUGACAAAAGAUAAAAUCCAAUACUGUACACACAAGGUCACAACGCCGCCACAAACUGGAAUCAUCGGCUCUUAAAUAUAAUCACUCGACGCCGCUCGCAGGGAAGGUUUCUGACGCUCCUGCGGCGGCGGCGGCGGCUAAGGUACAAACCCUCACGCUAAGGAGACACAAGUCCGGGCGGCCGAGACUCAACAUUCCUGUUAGUACGUUAACCUACUGGACGAAGGAAAAUGUUUUCCAUGUGACUGCAGCGCCGAGAAGUGCCGAGACUAUGCUAACACUACCUGAUGCCUACGAUGAUGCGGGGUUAACAAUAGAUGUUACAUGAUGCCUACAGAAUGAGAAUGGUGGCGCACACACACACACACACACACACACACACACACACACACACACACACACACAACUGUAUUUCCUGUAUUUCACAACUAGGUAAAUACACACAUAUAAACACACACACACUUCUGGUAUGCUGAUUGACUGACUGCCUUGGAACAUAAGCUAUCUACAAGAACAAAAUGCUGAAGAACAAAACAAUAACUGUGUAAGCCGUAACACUCAAGGACACAAAGCAUGCCUCGCCAAGCCACUGCGUUUGGUGAAGCAUAAUACUCUUGGCUGAAAGUAAGGGACUCUCGCAACAAUCCCUUCACCUGUUCUCCUGAUGAUUGCUUACUCCACAGUGUUAUAUGAGAUGAGGAAACGGAUAGCAGAGGAAUUCUUUACAUCCUUCCGCCAGUAAGCUAGAGAAGAGAAACUGUAUAUGUCAGGGAGUAACUCAGAAGGGAAGUAAUGAAUAAAGAAUGACUUACUAUAGAAAACUUGUCACAACUUUUGGGUUUAUGAGACAGGAAAAAGGAUAGUAUGACAGCUGUUUAAAUCCUUCCUCCUGUGAGCUAGAAAUUAAGACUGUGUAAGGGGGUAACUCAAGGGAAAUGUUGUAUAAAGAAUGACUUAAUAUGCAAAAUACUUCACAACUUUUGGGUUUAUGAGACAGGAAAAAGGAUAGUAUCAAAUCUGUUUAAGUCCUUCCACCUGUGAGCUAGAAAUUAAGACUGUGUAAGGGGGUAACUCAGAAGGAAAGCAUUGUAUAAUUAAUGACUUACUAUACAAAACACUUCACAACUUUUGGGUUUAUGAGACAGGAAAGUGGAAAGUAUGACAGCUGUUUAAAUCCUUCCGCCUGUGAGCUAGAAAUUAAGACUGUGCAAGGGGGUAACUCAGAAGGAAAGCAUUGUAUAAUUAAUGACUUACUAUACAAAACACUUCACAACUUCUGGAAUUAUGAGACAGGAAAGUGGAUACUGUGGAAGCUGUUUAAGUCCUUCCACCUGUGGGCUAGAAAUUAAGACUGUGUAAGGGAGUAACUCAAGGGAAAUGUUGUAUAAAGAAUGACUUAAUAUGCAAAAUACUUCACAACUUUUGGGUUUAUGAGACAGGAAAAAGGAUAGUAUGACAGCUGUUUAAAUCCUUCCUCCUGUGAGCUAGAAAUUAAGACUGUGCAAGGGGGUAACUCAGAAGGAAAGCAUUGUAUAAUUAAUGACUUGCCACACAAAACACGUCACAACUUCCGGGUAUGUCCGUACGCUGCAGAUGCGAACGAUGAGCUCCUCUCUGCAGCGACUUAACACAACGCAUGGUAUAUAUAUGUAUACUUUGACAAUCAAGUUUUUUCCACACACACACACACAGUAAGCGACUGGUAUUUCAUUUUUCUUUCCCUGAUGAAGUUUAUUUUAAUUAUCUCUUGGCAGGAUUUUAAUGUAGUUUUUGAUGAAGGUAUAAUUCCCUGGUUUGUUUUUUCUUCCUCUCUCUCGUAAGACCGCAAGGGAAUAUUUUUUUCUUUUCUCUCGUGCACUUCUUAUGUCACAUCAGUCUUUUUUUUU